UGGAGGACUGACAGCUGUCCUUCGUGACAACAGAAGACACAGAAACCCUCCUCAUCAGAAACAUGACUUUGACCUCCGUCCUCAUCGGGACUCUCCUCUGCUUCGCUCGGGGUUCUGUCGGACAAAACGUUGUCUUGACUCAGUCGGCAGCCAAAGCGGUGCAGCUGGGUCAAACCGUCUCUAUCGACUGUAAAGCCAAUCCAACAGUUGCUCAUUACUCUGGUUCUCAAUACUACCUGGCCUGGUACCAACAGAAAACUGGAGAAACUCCUAAACUUCUCAUCUAUGUAACAUCAGCCCAAUUUUCUGGAGUCUCGUCCAGAUUCAGUGGAAGUGGAGCGGGGAACGGAGUUGACUUCACUCUGACCAUCAGUGGAGUUCAAACCGAAGAUGCAGCAGUUUACUACUGCCAGAGUUAUCACUCUAUCAGCAGUCAAGCUGUGUUCACACCGUGAAAAAGCGUCGUACAAAAACCUCCGUCAGCCACUGCAGAGGAACUGAAGUGACUACUGCAGCUCGAAGCUACUGCAGAGACUGAUACACACACACACACACACACACACACACACACACACACACACGCACACAUGCACACACACACGCACACACACACAUACACACAGAGUGUGUCUGGCAUCAGCUCAUUUACACAAUAUAAAAAAAUCACCUUGUUUGCAGAUGACAUCCUGUAAAACAUCAUAAAACCCUCAUUCUUUCAUUCAGUUCAUAAUCACAGCAGAAGGUCGUGCAGAUUGUCUGGAUCCUCUCAAUCACAUUUUAAAUGUUCAUCAAAUAUUUUGAUUAAAAUCCAAAUUUCAUCUAACUGAGAUAAAGAAGUAUUAACAAAGUAUUUCUCUCACAUAAAAGAAAUAAAAAGUGAUUCGGAAAUUUGGAAUCAUCAUUUUUCUUGAUUCAUAUGUACAAAACAAAGAGGUUUAAAACAUUUUGCUGCACAUCAAAGCUAACCUCUGUUUUAGAUGAGCUUUACCUCUGAUGUAUGAUAACAUUAACACUAAAACUACAAAUCACGUCUGCAGGGAGCCUCAGGGCGCUGUCCCGCCUGAAGUGGCCGUCCUCCUCCAGCACCCCGGGACUCUUGCUUCCAGGACAGACUCCAGUCUGAGGGGAGGCCCCUGUUGACCCGGCACAGGGGGGGCAGCGCCGUCAGGGUGGGACAACGUGACCCCCUGGAGGAGACACAGAGACAACAUGAAGACAGUUCCUGCAGAGAGAAAAUCAACUCCACCCUGUUGGCGGCGGCAGAGGAGGCUGCUGGUUUAGCUGGUCGUCCUCAGACUUGAUCAAACUGGUCUUCAGUGUUUCACUUCUCUCGCUGAGCUCAGUAACCAUGGCAAUGGGCAGGCAUCACUGCUGAACCGUGGCAACAGGCAGGUCUCGGGUCUAAAGAUAGAGUUUCAGGCGCAAAUCUCUUUCUUUAGUUGAACUAACAAACCAGCAACCAAAGACAAAAUGUAAUUCUGUGAGUGUGAGACUCUGAUUUGAUUGUCAACAUUUUCAACUCAAUGCUGUCUUCAUUUACGCCAAUAUCACCGCUGACCAGGGACAACACACAG